rnacentral:rRNA from 1 species
AAAUUGAAGAGUUUGAUCAUGGCUCAGAUUGAACGCUGGCGGCAGGCCUAACACAUGCAAGUCGAACGGUAACAGGAAGAAGCUUGCUUCUUUGCUGACGAGUGGCGGACGGGUGAGUAAUGUCUGGGAAACUGCCUGAUGGAGGGGGAUAACUACUGGAAACGGUAGCUAAUACCGCAUAACGUCGCAAGACCAAAGAGGGGGACCUUCGGGCCUCUUGCCAUCGGAUGUGCCCAGAUGGGAUUAGCUAGUAGGUGGGGUAACGGCUCACCUAGGCGACGAUCCCUAGCUGGUCUGAGAGGAUGACCAGCCACACUGGAACUGAGACACGGUCCAGACUCCUACGGGAGGCAGCAGUGGGGAAUAUUGCACAAUGGGCGCAAGCCUGAUGCAGCCAUGCCGCGUGUAUGAAGAAGGCCUUCGGGUUGUAAAAGUACUUUCAGCGGGGAGGAAGGGAGUAAAGUUAAUACCUUUGCUCAUUGACGUUACCCGCAGAAGAAGCACCGGCUAACUCCGUGCCAGCAGCCGCGGUAAUACGGAGGGUGCAAGCGUUAAUCGGAAUUACUGGGCGUAAAGCGCACGCAGGCGGUUUGUUAAGUCAGAUGUGAAAUCCCCGGGCUCAACACUGGGAACUGCAUCUGAUACUGGCAAGCUUGAGUCUCGUAGAGGGGGUAGAAUUCCGGUGUAGCGGUGAAAUGCGUAGAGAUCUGGAGGAAUACCGGUGGCGAAGGCGGCCCCUGGACGAAGACUGACGCUCAGGUGCGAAAGCGUGGGGAGCAAACAGGAUUAGAUACCCUGGUAGUCCACGCCGUAAACGAUGUCGACUUGGAGGUUGUGCCCUUGAGGCGUGGCUUCCGGAGCUAACGCGUUAAGUCGACCGCCUGGGGAGUACGGCCGCAAGGUUAAAACUCAAAUGAAUUGACGGGGCCCGCACAAGCGGUGGAGCAUGUGGUUUAAUUCGAUGCAACGCGAAGAACCUUACCUGGUCUUGACAUCCACGGAAGUUUUCAGAGAUGAGAAUGUGCCUUCGGGAACCGUGAGACAGGUGCUGCAUGGCUGUCGUCAGCUCGUGUUGUGAAAUGUUGGGUUAAGUCCCGCAACGAGCGCAACCCUUAUCCUUUGUUGCCAGCGGUCCGGCCGGGAACUCAAAGGAGACUGCCAGUGAUAAACUGGAGGAAGGUGGGGAUGACGUCAAGUCAUCAUGGCCCCUUACGACCAGGGCUACACACGUGCUACAAUGGCGCAUACAAAGAGAAGCGACCUCGCGAGAGCAAGCGGACCUCAUAAAGUGCGUCGUAGUCCGGAUUGGAGUCUGCAACUCGACUCCAUGAAGUCGGAAUCGCUAGUAAUCGUGGAUCAGAAUGCCACGGUGAAUACGUUCCCGGGCCUUGUACACACCGCCCGUCACACCAUGGGAGUGGGUUGCAAAGAAGUAGGUAGCUUAACCUUCGGGAGGGCGCUUACCACUUUGUGAUUCAUGACUGGGGUGAAGUCGUAACAAGGUAACCGUAGGGGAACCUGCGGUUGGAUCACCUCCUUA